rnacentral:rRNA from 1 species
GAUGAACGCUGGCGGCGCGCCUAACACAUGCAAGUCGAACGGCACCUAUCUUCGGAUAGAAGCGAGUGGCGAACGGCUGAGUAACACGUGGAGAACCUGCCCCCUCCUCCGGGAUAGCCGCCCGAAAGGACGGGUAAUACCGGAUACCCCCGGGCGCCGCAUGGCGCCCGGGCUAAAGCCCCGACGGGAGGGGAUGGCUCCGCGGCCCAUCAGGUAGACGGCGGGGUGACGGCCCACCGUGCCGACAACGGGUAGCCGGGUUGAGAGACCGACCGGCCAGAUUGGGACUGAGACACGGCCCAGACUCCUACGGGAGGCAGCAGUGGGGAAUCUUGCGCAAUGGGGGGAACCCUGACGCAGCGACGCCGCGUGCGGGACGGAGGCCUUCGGGUCGUAAACCGCUUUCAGCAGGGAAGAGUCAAGACUGUACCUGCAGAAGAAGCCCCGGCUACUACGUGCCAGCAGCCGCGGUAAUACGUAGGGGGCGAGCGUUAUCCGGAUUCAUUGGGCGUAAAGCGCGCGUAGGCGGCCCGGCAGGCCGGGGGUCGAAGCGGGGGGCUCAACCCCCCGAAGCCCCCGGAACCUCCGCGGCUUGGGUCCGGUAGGGGAGGGUGGAACACCCGGUGUAGCGGUGGAGUGCGCAGAUAUCGGGUGGAACACCGGUGGCGAAGGCGGCCCUCUGGGCCGAGACCGACGCUGAGGCGCGAAAGCUGGGGGAGCGAACAGGAUUAGAUACCCUGGUAGUCCCAGCCGUAAACGAUGGACGCUAGGUGUGGGGGGGCGAUCCCCCCGUGCCGCAGCCAACGCAUUAAGCGUCCCGCCUGGGGAGUACGGCCGCAAGGCUAAAACUCAAAGGAAUUGACGGGGGCCCGCACAAGCAGCGGAGCAUGUGGCUUAAUUCGAAGCAACGCGAAGAACCUUACCAGGGCUUGACAUAUGGGUGAAGCGGGGGAGACCCCGUGGCCGAGAGGAGCCCAUACAGGUGGUGCAUGGCUGUCGUCAGCUCGUGUCGUGAGAUGUUGGGUUAAGUCCCGCAACGAGCGCAACCCCCGCCGCGUGUUGCCAUCGGGUGAUGCCGGGAACCCACGCGGGACCGCCGCCGUCAAGGCGGAGGAGGGCGGGGACGACGUCAAGUCAUCAUGCCCCUUAUGCCCUGGGCUGCACACGUGCUACAAUGGCCGGUACAGAGGGAUGCCACCCCGCGAGGGGGAGCGGAUCCCGGAAAGCCGGCCCCAGUUCGGAUUGGGGGCUGCAACCCGCCCCCAUGAAGUCGGAGUUGCUAGUAAUCGCGGAUCAGCAUGCCGCGGUGAAUGCGUUCCCGGGCCUUGCACACACCGCCC